AAGAUUUACAACGCUAAACUUAAAAGAGAAUCGGUGACGUAGAGGUCUAAUGUAUUCCUUGAUUGGCUGUACCCUCUGCUGUGGACUGCAGUUUCGUCUAUUCAAGGCUCAUCAGCACAGCUUGAGUCAGCAAACCAAAGGGCUACGAUUGGGGCUAUUAUAAUGGUGAAGUGUUUAUAGUAUCUAAGGGGGUUUUAGUUCCUUUUUACUUCACCAUACUGUAACUUGAAUUAAUUUACGUAUGUCAACAAUGUUAUGACAUUAUCGCCUAAUUCAAGAUUCGACCAACUGUUUGCUUUCGGGAUAAAACAAUGCACGUAUCAUGAGAAGCAUAAAAACCGCGACUGUUAUCUCAACAAUAAGAUUUACAUAGUUUUUUCUGCUGUGAUUCGCUUGUUUUCUUACCUUACGUUCGUUAAAACCAAUCAUCGUUAGUGACGACAUCUUUAAACUUCCUGGUUCGUUCUAAUCACACUUAAUGUUAAGCUACAAGUAGUUACAACCAUCCACUCUCUCUAAGUAUUGUUACACAGGGGAAACUUAGCUGAACAUGGCUGAUCUUACCUCUCGGAUGAUAACACUUUCAGUGUCACGUUCCACUAGCAAAGCUCAUCAGGGAAAACCCCGAGGAAGUUUAAUGGUUGGUUGUUUUUUAGAGCAAAGUCACAUUGGACAUGCUGCCGUGGCCACUACUGUUAAUCCGACUCCGGAUUUAAGCGUUGUAAGUCCGUAAACGUACCAUGAUUCAACAAGGGGACUCAUGAAAAGCACUGUUGGUAUGAUAGUAAAGACCAGGUUUCGACUCUGGGUCAUCUGGCCGUCUCUCCAUUAAAGUUUCGGUCAACUAACAUAUUUACAUGUUUUCAAGAGAGUAUCCAGAAACAUUUCAAAAAUGACAACCUUAAAAAAAGCUCUUCUGACUGUCAAAACAUACUUAACGACAUGAAAAAAAUUCACGAUGAAUUGAAGAAGUAUCUUGAGGAAGAUGAAACAGCUCGAGCGCAUUUGAUUGAAAAUUUUCCAGUUUGGAUUUCAUCGCGAGAAGAAUCCAUUAAGUCUCUUAAGAAGAUUGAUAUUAAGAAGAAUGAGAACAAUUAGGGUGUAAAAACCUCAAAAAAUGCUGUUUCUCUUAGUAAAAUGGGUAAAAUACAUAGUAAGAUGGUUGCUGUCGGAGAUACUCUUGGCAGUUUUACUGAUGACCUCUCGUUAGAUUUACCUGAAGGUGGCGCCACCUUACAUGCUGCUGGAGAAUUAUUUUCUCUAGGAUCAAACUUGACAGGAACGAUUGCCAAUAAAAUAAAAUGUCAAAAAAUCAUAUAGACUCUGAAUAAAGACAAAAAACAAAGUGACGAACUUUUCAAAAAUAUGGAAACCCUGAAACGCAGUGACGAAAACCGUGAGAAACUUCUGAAAGAAGCAAAUGAGUUUAUAGACAUUAUUGAGAAAUCCCGGUAAGUCAAUUGUGGAGCUUUUAGAGAAAGCAGUAGAAUUUUAUCAGAACUUAGCCCAUUUUGAAGAAGUAAACUUUGACAACAGUAAGAAAGUUUUAAAGACAACUUUUAUACAUUUACCAGUAAAUAGUACAUGUAAAGAAAAGACACUUUGUGACCAGGUUGAUCUUAAGCCACCUUCAAAUCUGAUCUCAAAAAGCUCUGGUGAGGGUCCAGUUGUAUCCCCAGUAAAGAAAAAAAAAAGCAGCAGCAAACUGAAAUCAGACGAUUCUAAAAAAUACUUUUUUAUUUUUGAGUUACGACUUCAUCAAAUAUACAGGGAAAAUUAUAGCUUUAUCAAAAGAAUGGCUGUUGCUGGAAAUACUGACAUUGAAAAAUUAUAUGAUUUCUUUCUCGCCUUUAGGAUUCUGAGAUUUCCCUCAUAUCAAAAGCGUCCUUUAGAAAACAAAAGAAUGCCGAAAUAAAUCCAACGCUGCCCACAUUUAAUGUCUGGUUUUUGAACGUGUUUUUUAAAUAUUUUAGCCAAUAUUUAGAACAAUAAACCAUAUCUUAAUUCUGUGUGACAUUAUUAUUCUGUAAAGAAAAAGUAACUACUAAAAAUGUUAGAAUUAGAACAAUCGACGUAUAAUUAUACUUAAAUUGUAUUUCAAGUCAGAAGAUCCAUGUAGGCUAAUUAUUGUUAAAAUAAAGUUCAGUUUACAAUGGCU
rnacentral:lncRNA from 1 species